ACGUUAGCGGCGGACGGGUGAGUAACACGUGGGUAACCUACCUAUAAGACUGGGAUAACUUCGGUAAACCGGAGCUAAUACCGGAUAACACAUGAAACCGCAUGGUUUCAUGAUGAAAGACGGUUUUGCUGUCACUUAUAGAUGGACCCGCGGCGUAUUAGCUAGUUGGUAAGGUAACGGCUUACCAAGGCAACGAUACGUAGCCGACCUGAGAGGGUGAUCGGCCACACUGGAACUGAGACACGGUCCAG
rnacentral:rRNA from 1 species